rnacentral:rRNA from 1 species
AACGCGAAGAACCUUACCUGGGCUUGACAUGCAUCGUGUCGCCGGUGAAAGCCGGCUAGUGUAGCAAUACACGCUUUGCACAGGUGCUGCAUGGCUGUCGUCAGCUCGUGUCGUGAGAUGUUGGGUUAAGUCCCGCAACGAGCGCAACCCUCGCCUUUAGUUGCCAGCACGUUUGGGUGGGCACUCUAAAGGAACUGCCGGUGACAAGCCGGAGGAAGGUGGGGAUGACGUCAAGUCCUCAUGGCCCUUAUGUCCUGGGCUACACACGUGCUACAAUGGCGGUGACAGCGGGAAGCCAGGUCGCAAGGCCGAGCCGAUCCCGAAAAGCCGUCUCAGUUCAGAUUGCACUCUGCAACUCGGGUGCAUGAAGGUGGAAUCGCUAGUAAUCGUGGAUCAGCAUGCCACGGUGAAUACGUUCCCGGGCCUUGUACACACCGACUGUAC